GGAUGUGAGGACAAUCUGUCUGUAUUAUCUAUACCGGUCACCCCCUGAUUGCCAGAGUUGAUGGGGCUGAUCUGACUGGCUAGGCAAAUAUUCCCUUCCUUCCUCAUCAUUCCAUGUGUAUCCCUCCCGAAGUAGCUCACUCUAAAAGGGAAAUCUUCCCUGAUAGUGACAGAUCCGUCUUCCAGUAAGUGGUACAGGAGCAGCUGUACUCCCCUGCGAGAGCCUCCAAACAAGCUCUCAAAAUAGAGCACAUGAAGGGCCUGCUCCGUGUGCUAGUUUGAGUAGCAAAGUUCUAACCACUC
ensembl:misc_RNA 7SK 7SK RNA